GGCUAAUUCAUUGUUGUAGAUACCAGCAUUGUGUUACCCUCGUGUGUGAUCGCCCAUUACUGCUGUGUUGCAGACGUUUUGGGAAUGGAAAGUCCCCUGCUGCAGAGUAGGAUGGAUCCAGCUGACUGCUAACAAUUUGGAGGAGGAUUGCUCUUUAUCUGCUAUGUUGCACUGUCGACUUCUGGUACAAAUGAAUUGACCUUUUGUGCCAUGCUUUUUUUACUUAACUUAAUUUUAAACUUGUAGAUGUAUCUGUUUUGUUUAAACAUAAACUCUAAACACAAACACUGCAAGGUCAAGGUUUGAAAUAAUUGUAUUCCAUUUUAUACAGUACUUUUAGAGUUUCUAUUUUUGUUUUCCAAAAUAAAACCAUAAUUUUACAAUCUUGAGC
rnacentral:lncRNA from 1 species